UAUUGUAUUUCAUGACAUACGAGAAAGAUGUUAUACCUUUUGCUCCUAGAUAAAAAGUUUUAUGACGAAGAUUCAGUGACAAAUACAUAGUUACAGCUUCCAGUUCAGUGUUUGUAAUGAGCCACAUUAAACAAAACACUGGCAGGCAACACUAUAAAAGAUGAUGGAAAUGGCAGGUUGUUUCAUGAUGAUGUUUUUGGUAUAGAGCGGAACUAUAAUGGAGGGGACAGCCGUAGAUGAAACUUUUGAGAUGGAAGAUCUAAUGUUGUACUGAAAAGACAGUUCUGCUGAGAGUUUUGUGAUGUAGCGAGGUUUGAGAUUCU